rnacentral:SRP_RNA from 1 species
GCCGGGCGCGGUGGCUCACGCCUGUAAUCCCAGCACUUUGGGAGGCUGAGGCGAGCGGAUCACCUGAGGUCGGGAGUUCGAGACCAGCCUGACCAACAUGGAGAAACCUCGUCUCUA